UACGGAGGGGGCUAGCGUUGUUCGGAAUUACUGGGCGUAAAGCGCACGUAGGCGGCUUUGUAAGUUAGAGGUGAAAGCCCGGGGCUCAACUCCGGAAUUGCCUUUAAGACUGCAUCGCUUGAAUCCGGGAGAGGUGAGUGGAAUUCCGAGUGUAGAGGUGAAAUUCGUAGAUAUUCGGAAGAACACCAGUGGCGAAGGCGGCGUCACUGGCCCGACUACUGACGCUGAGGUGACGAAAGCGUGGGGAGCAAACAGG
rnacentral:rRNA from 1 species